AUGGAAGCUACCAGGACUUCUGUGCCACAAGUUUCCAUUUCAUAUCCACAAGAUUCAUGGGCAGAAUUUGAGAACAUUAUCACUGAGAAGGAAAACGAAGCCAAGAAAGUUGACAGCAAGCUAGUAAUAACAAUGGAAGAUGGUAUGCAAGCUAGCAGGGUGAUGCAUAUCUCAUCCACACACCAGCCGCCACUGACAAAUCAAAUGGCGACAUCCAACAUAGAUUCAGACGGGAAGUUAUACGAGCUGAAAGAUCAACUUGUGCUGCUGGCCACUUUGGUGGCGAUGGUGACCUACCUCUCCGGGCUCAACCAGCCGGGGGGAGACUGGAAGCCGCAGGAGGAGGGUGGGCACGUCACGGGCGACCCGAUCCUCCGGGACACUCACAACCAUCGGUACCUCAUCUUCAACUACUGCAAUGCCACGGCGUUCGUAUCGUCGGUCGUUGUCUGCCUUAUUCUGGUCAUGCUGCGGAGGAACAGCAAGGUCUGGACGGUGCUGCUAUGGGUUGUCAUGUUGCUCGACCUAGUCGCUCUCAUGUGUUCCUACGGCGGCGGGGCCAGCCGCUACGCCUUGACCACUAUCUUUGUCAUGGCACUCGCUUCUCCCAUCUUGGCCUACAUUGUGUAUACUUUUAUAGGCUACCUCAGUCUGACCAGCCACCCGGACAACAUCAUGAACCCAAGAAAUACAAACACGGGUUACCAAGAGAAGGAGAAGAUCGAAGUGCUGAUGCUGCUGGCGACCUUCGCCUUCACGAUCUCGUAUGCCUCCGGGCUGAACCCUCCUGGUGGUUUCUGGAGGAGCACCCAGAAGCAGGAGGACGGCCGCCUUCUUCACCUCGCCGGAGACCCCAUCAUACAUGACAGGGGGCUCCGGAGGUACCAGGCCUUCUUCAUGUGCAACACCACGGCGCUCGUCGCCUCCUUGCUCAUCAUCCUGCUACUCCUCGACAAGAAGCUGAACAGGACCAUCUCGGCGCGGUUCCUGGCGGUCUACGGCUUAAUCGCCGUCGCACUCAUGGGCCUUAUGGGGGCGUAUGCUGCUGGGGCCUCCAGGGACACCCUCGAUACCGCCAAGGUCAUUUCCCUAUCCGCUGCGGUUCCUGCGUGCGUAUUCCUGCAGCUGGCUCUUAAUAACGUCUUCCGUUGGGAAGUAAUCAAGAACAUGCGUGAUACUUUCUGCCUAUGGUCGAGGAAAUCAAGUUCCGCAGGUGACGAGGCACUUGCGGACCCAGCCUUGAAAAAUACUUGCUUUUUCGCUAUGGUACUUGCUAGCUUCGCGGUAUGCAUCACUUACCAAGCAGCACUGGAUCCACCGGGCGGACUUUGGCAAGACAACCUGGAUGGGCAUAAGAUCGGCCAGCCGGUGCUACAGACGACAAAUCCUGCACGUUACUGGCUGUUCUUCUACAGCAACUCAGCAGUUUUCGUGACAUCUCUGUUAGUGGUCAUGAUGGUACAGAGCAAGUUCCUGCUCACGCUCCGCACUUUGGUGGCAUCCAUGGUACUGGACCUGAUCGGCCUCGUCAUCGCCUACGCCGCCGGGAGUGCCAGAGAUGCAAGCACGUCCAUCUAUUUCGUCGCCAUGAUUGGACUCGUCUUGGUCUACGCCGUUGUCCAUAUCGUAUUCUUUAUCGGAGGAGUGAACGAGAAUGUCGUUGCUGAAGCUGAACAAGAGAAGCUGGAGGACAAGCGUCAGGUGCUGCUGCUAAUCGUCAUCUUGGUGGCGGCGCUCACCUAUCAAGCUGGGCUGACCCCGCCGGGCGGCUUCUGGCCAGCGAAUGACGAGAAGCUUGGUCAUCGCGCGGGAUACCCGGUCCUUGUCGAUACCUAUCCGCACCGCUACACGGCCUUUUUGUACUGCAACGCGGCGAGCUUCAUGGUGUCGGUGGCUCUCAUCCUCCUCGUGAACCACAAGCUGUACUGGCCGGCGCUUCGAUGCAAGGCGCUACACGUGUGUAUGGCGCACUGGUGGAAAAAGGGCCUUUGGUCGCGGUUCGCAACUGCCAUUAGUCGCGGUUGCGCAACCGCGACAGACCGGGCGCGACUAAAGGCCCCCCCCCUUUAG
rnacentral:rRNA from 1 species